rnacentral:rRNA from 1 species
UACGUAGGGGGCAAGCGUUGUCCGGAAUUAUUGGGCGUAAAGAGCUCGUAGGCGGUCUGUCGCGUCGGCUGUGAAAUCCCGAGGCUCAACCUCGGGUCUGCAGUCGAUACGGGCAAACUAGAGUAUUGCAGGGGAGACUGGAAUUCCUGGUGUAGCGGUGAAAUGCGCAGAUAUCAGGAGGAACACCGGUGGCGAAGGCGGGUCUCUGGGCAAUAACUGACGCUGGAGGAGCGAAAGCGUGGGGAGCGAACAGG